AUGGCAUUUAACAAUAUAAAUCUCCAUUUUCAGUGCUCGCAUAAAUCUAAUGAUUUUUUUCUCUUGAGCAAAGAGUCUUUAAUGCCUUCCUGGUGUGUUUUGCAGAGCACUGGAUCAACAUCACACAUGGAAUAUAUUUGUAAAGAGACAGGCAGGAUUAUGUCAUACCCAGAAGGGAUAAUAAUCAGAAAUACAUUGAUUAUACUGGAAAUGAAACUGUUGGUGGUUGCUUGGGGCCACUUUUCUUCACUCUCUCUGGCAUCUGUUUCCCCCAGCAGAGAGGACAUCGACAUACUUGCUGGGCUGUGUAUAGACACAUAGGAGUUCAAAUUUCAGAUUUGAUGUUUUCUCACACUGAUAUGGAGAAUGUGGACAAGAGUCGAUUUCUCUGGUCCUGUUUCCCACACGUUGAAAUGAAGAACUGUGCAACUAAAUGUUUGUUGAAAUCCACUCCAGCCAGAUUACUCUGUUCUAGGAACUGGUUGUUUCUAUUCUCUAUUACAGAAUUGAACGUAGCAACAAAAUGAUGGAUCUUAUUUGUCAACAAAGAGCUUCCCAGUCAUGCCUAACUCUUUAUUUCUGUAUGUUCCAUUAUGAAAUAAAUAUCUAAAGUGUAUGUGAUAAAAUGAUAAACCUUCAGUUUAGAGAGGAGGCCUCAAAGGGAGAAAAACCAUUUAUAUAAUCACAGCACUUGUAUAUACUGGAGGACAUCUUUAAACACAUGUAAUUAUUAUAAAAAUCAAUGCUGACCUUCUCUACAAGCACUACUUCUCAACAUUAAAUAGGAUAAAUCAUUUAUUUAGGAAAAGCUGCUGGGAGGGAUUGGGGGCAGGAGGAGAAAGGGACGACAGAGGAUGAGAUGGCUGGAUGGCAUCACUGACUCAAUGGACGUGAGUCUGAGUGAACUCUGGGAGUUGGUGAUGGACAGGGAGGCCUGGCGUGCUGUGAUUCAUGGGGUCACAAAGAGUCGGACACGACUGAGCGACUAAACUGAACUGAAGUGAAUAUGGAAGAGUUACUGACUUUUGUAAAUUUGAGAUUAAAAAUUCCCUAGAUCUUGCAAAGUAUUUUCAGCAUCUUGAAUUGCUAGUCUUUUGAACAAGAAUGUUUCUUUUCAAAAUGUCCUCAGCCUGAUAUAUUAUUACUAUGACAUAUAAAAUUGAGUUAUAUCAAGUAAUAAAACAUACUGAGAAAGAUACAUUAUUUUGAAGUACAGCAGACUCCCCUUAUCCGAG
rnacentral:lncRNA from 1 species